GUGCUCGCUUCAGCAGCACAUAUACUAAAACUGGAAUGAUACAGAGAUUAGCAUGGCCCCUGCGCAAGGAUGGCAUGCAAACGCGUGAAGCGUGCCAUAAAAAG